rnacentral:lncRNA from 1 species
CUGGCUUCCACCUGUGUUUCCCUUUCAGCUGUGCACUGCGGCCCGGGGAACAUUCAGGCCCUUGCUAGUCCAGCUCGCUGCUCGUCUCCAUGUUCACAGGCUUGUCUUGGGCCCUCUUCCAAGUCAGUGGCGGUAAUGUUUUCGAGGGUGCAAAUCCCUCUGCAAUCUGACAAAGGCUCUGGGCAAACUGUGGAGGUUUGCACAGAAUCUCAGGGUCUCACCCGAUCCCCCCGCCAAAAGGACUGAGCUGGGCUCAUGGGCACAGGGUCUGCACACCUACUUUCUACUGAUAAAAGCUGCUGCAUUCCUCGAGAAAUCCUCGAGACGGUGCUUUUUAUGAUUUGUUUCCUCCAACGCCGAGCACAGGGCAGCAGCGCUUGGCUGUGUCCUUCUGCACCCACAUCUGGCUCGGAGACCCACCUCCGCCCAAUGGGAAUGUGAGCAUCACAGCUGGGUGCCCUGAGCCCAAGGCUGGGAGACGAAGAGCACCCAGAGCACCCGGCAGACCCGAGGCCUGUGCUGUGCUGCACUGCUGAGCCUUCUGGAGGCCAGCUGCUCACCUCAGCAGGGGCCCCAGGGUACUGACUCUGGCCACGGGAUCGUGUUCAUCUCUCCUCUGAUCUUAGUGGCUCUGCAGACCAAGAGGGCAGCCUGAGGUCUGGAGGGCAAUGGGAAAACAGUGCACAGUGAAGGGUCAUAGACCCCGUGGGUCGAAUCAAAAAUGUUCACAGAGGAAUCCCAGGAGGGAUGCUGGAGGCCGCCAGUCAAUUCAGGAGGAAAGUGUGGCCCCCGAGGGUAAAUGAUGGGGUCUGGCAGAUUCUGAAGGAAGAGGAAAGAGGGAAGGGGAGCUUGCAGACGGGCCCAGCUGAAGACGGGGGAGGCCAUCUCCUGCGUCCCUGGGGCUCACGCCAGCCAGGGGCGCCCCUGUGGUCCUGCUCCCCCCAUGGAUCAGCAACAGGUGCCCUGUGCAGGAGCCCUGUCCAGGUGAACCAACCAUAGGCUGGGAAGGGCCAGCUGCUUCAGUGGCCCAGGUGUGGGGGCAGGUCCAACAAGGACAGCGGUGCCCUGGCUCAAGGGCCAUUCAGGGCCGGUUGAGGGAGAAUGUGCAUUUCUCAAAGGGCAGCUUCAGUCCUCCGAGUCAGCUUCCCAGGAAAC